rnacentral:rRNA from 1 species
GACGUAGGGUGCGAGCGUUGUCCGGAUUUAUUGGGCGUAAAGAGCUCGUAGGCGGCUCGUCGCGUCGACCGUGAAAACCCGCAGCUUAACUGCGGGCUUGCGGUUGAUACGGGCGGGCUAGAGUUCGGUAGGGGAGACUGGAAUUCCUGGUGUAGCGGUGAAAUGCGCAGAUAUCAGGAGGAACACCGGUGGCGAAGGCGGGUCUCUGGGCAUUAACUGACGCUGAGGAGCGAAAGCAUGGGGAGCGAACAGG